rnacentral:pre_miRNA from 1 species
CGUGAUCUACCCUGUAGAUCCGGGCUUUUGUGGAUCGAUAAGAGUCAGAAGCUCGUCUCUACAGGUAUCUUACGG